CCUUCGGGAUGCAGCAGUGAGGAAUAUUGGUCAAUGGCCGGAAGGCUGAACCAGCCAAGCCGCGUGAAGGACGAAGGUGCCAAGCAUUGGAAACUUCUUUUGUCAAGGGACAAAAUCAGGCUCUAGAGAAUGACCGAGGGUACUUGAAGAAAAAGCAUCGGCUAACUGCGAGACAGCAGCCGCGGUACUAAGGAGGAUGCGAGCGGUAUCAGGAUGUAUUGGGUUUAAAGGUUGCGUAGGCGGACUGUUAAGUUAGCGGUAAAAGCCUGGGGCUCAACCCCGGCGAGACGUUGAAACUGGCUGUCUUGAGAUGUCGAGAGGUAUGCGGAAUGCGCAGUGUAGCGGUGAAAUGCUUAGAUAUACCGAAGAACUCCGAUUGCGAAGGCAGCUUACUAAACUGCCACUGACAUUGAUGCUCGAAAGUGUGGGUAUCAAACAGGAUUAGAUACCCCAGUAGUC
rnacentral:rRNA from 1 species